GACGAACGCUGGCGGCGUGCUUAACACAUGCAAGUCGAACGGAAAGGCCCUGCUUUUGUGGGGUGCUCGAGUGGCGAACGGGUGAGUAACACGUGAGUAACCUGCCCUUGACUUUGGGAUAACUUCAGGAAACUGGGGCUAAUACCGGAUAGGAGCUCCUGCUGCAUGGUGGGGGUUGGAAAGUUUCGGCGGUUGGGUAUGGACUCGCGGCUUAUCAGCUUGUUGGUGGGGUAGUGGCUUACCAAGGCUUUGACGGGUAGCCGGCCUGAGAGGGUGACCGGCCACAUUGGGACUGAGAUACGGCCCAGACUCCUACGGGAGGCAGAAGUGGGGAAUAUUGCACAAUGGGCGGAAGCCUGAUGCAGCAACGCCGCGUGCGGGAUGACGGCCUUCGGGUUGUAAACCGCUUUCGCCGGUGACGAAGCGUGAGUGACGGUAAUGGGUAAAGAAGCACCGGCUAACUACGUG
rnacentral:rRNA from 1 species